UGCAUCCAGAGUUUAAAGAGGAUGAGAACCUCCGAAGGAGGUUUGAGCCGAGCGCAGCGAGACAACGUUGCUUACGGCAACGGCCCGAAGGGCUUGUUUUAUAAAAACGAGUUAUCCUCUCUCGCCGACCA
rnacentral:sRNA from 1 species